GACGAACGCUGGCGGCGUGCCUAAUACAUGCAAGUCGAGCGCAGGAAGUCAUCCGAACCCUUCGGGGGGACGGUGACGGAAUGAGCGGCGGACGGGUGAGUAACACGUAAAGAACCUGCCCUCAGGUCUGGGAUAACCACGAGAAAUCGGGGCUAAUACCGGAUGGGUCAUCGGACCGCAUGGUCCGAGGAUGAAAGGCGCUUCGGCGUCGCCUGGGGAUGGCUUUGCGGUGCAUUAGCUAGUUGGUGGGGUAACGGCCCACCAAGGCGACGAUGCAUAGCCGACCUGAGAGGGUGAUCGGCCACACUGGGACUGAGACACGGCCCAGACUCCUACGGGAGGCAGCAGUAGGGAAUCUUCCACAAUGGACGAAAGUCUGAUGGAGCAACGCCGCGUGAACGAUGAAGGCCCUCGGGUCGUAAAGUUCUGUUGUAAGGGAAGAACAAGUGCCGCAGGCAAUGGCGGCA
rnacentral:rRNA from 1 species